rnacentral:lncRNA from 1 species
AGUUUGCAGAAUGAUGGCACUGUACACAACAGUUGAGUGGUCUGCAUUUUUAGUGUUUAUUUUCAGCCUGUGACAUAGCCACUGUCUCAGUUCUUAUGAAAUAGGAUAGAAAUAUAUCAAAGUAAGUGCAAUCUGCAUAGUUAAUGUUUGUGAGCUUUACAAUUUAAAACAGAAAAGCUGUAAUUUUUCUUUGCUGGCAAUCUGGAAACACUCUGGAGUUAAUUACAGCUGAUUCGGAGUGAACCGCACAAACAAAGACCAGUCUAUGUCCAGACAAUUAUACUGCAUUAACCAGCUUAGAGCUUCCUGCUGAUGUUUCAGGGCUCUUCUGUUACACCCUUCUACCUUCCCAGCAUGAGAGAAAAUGCUUCUGCAAGAAGGAUUUAAUGAAGAGAACUGCAAAAGAAUGUGUGACGACCUCUCCUGACAUGGCAAAAACUUUCCACCCCUGUCAUGACAAAGGGGAGAAGAAAAAUAAAGACCCAGCAAUGCAUUUGAUAUCUAGAAGCCUUCAGAAGCAAACCAACUUGUGAUAAUGGGGUGCAGAUAGUGAUGUGGAAGACUAACCACCUAUCACUCAGAUGCCACCUAAGAAUCUGUCAGCGAGCAACCAACAUGAGAAGAAGCUGACUAGCUCUUUUUCCUAUCAGUUAAAUAUGUCCAUUGCCUAGUUCCUCUUUCCUCUUGUGGAGAAGGUCAACUCUGCGAGAACACAUUCUAUGUAGAUUGGCUUUAAUGUACUUUAGCUGAGUAUUACAUUCAAACCAGCUGCUACUGAAAAAAAAACAACAACAAAG